rnacentral:rRNA from 1 species
CCAACACUGGGACUGAGACACUGCCCAGACUUCUACGGAAGGCUGCAGUCGAGAAUCUUUCGCAAUGGGCGCAAGCCUGACGAAGCGACGCUGUGUGAGUGAUGAAGGCCUUCGGGUUGUAAAACUCUUUCGCAUGGGAACAAGAGACUUGUGUGAAUAACAUAGGAAUCAGAGGGUACCGUGUAAAGAAGCACCGGCUAACU